rnacentral:lncRNA from 1 species
AUAAAUAAUGCCACUCAUAAACAGAACUCGGGCAAAUUCAAUUUUGUUUCUAUUAAUGCAGAAUGUGCUAAAAUUUUCUACUUUUGUUUACUUAAAGAACAUGUAUGUCUUGGUACACAAAAGCUCUCUUGUGUUCAUGUAAUUGUAAAAAAAGUUAAAAACCCACUUCAAAAUCCUAAGGGCACCAAGCAGUCAUCCUUCCAAAGAGGUCUGUAUUUUCAGACAUUACAUGCAUUACUGAUUGUGGAACAAAAUCCACUGCAUAAUUUCUGUGGUUAUCUAAAACUGACAAAACAGCUGGGAGAGAAAAACUUCUGGUUGCUAUUUCCCCAGAUUUUCUUUCAUCUCUCUCUCUCUGAGGAAUUUGCGUUCAGAACAUACAUAACACAAUCCAAAAAGGGAGACUUUUUCUGAAUGAAACAUGCUCUGUCUUAAGCGAUUUCUAAUGUGGUAUAAAUUCAAAGUUUUAGAAUCUGAUGAUACCUACUCCAUGGAGGCCUGACAGUAAGUCAUGUAAUACAUCGAUGAGUUUAUGGGUUUCUCGGUUAGUAAUUCCAGAUGGUGUGCCUGUGCUCUGGCUGUGCUCUCUUUGUAAAUCAUCUCACUCACAAUCAACAGAUAUCCAGAAGCACUUUAAUUGGAAACAUUUAUUUUAACAGUUAUUUAUAACUUUCAAUGGAAUCUCAUUCAAGAAUGUGGAGCCCUUCGUUUUUCAUAAAGCUGGGCUCUUUUUCUGGAGAGCAGGUUUUGGAAGGGUAUGUGCUGCCUCAAACAAAGUUUUUUCCUGAGUUUUUGUUGGUUCAAUAUAUUUGUGGUUUAGUCUUAAGAAAUGCUUCUAUUGAGUCCUCUGCCUCUCUCAACACGACCUUCUUGCCAACACUUAUUUUGGACUAGAAAGUACUUCAAAAGAAAAGCAUGUUUGCCACAGUUGAAAAAUGAUUGCUGUUAAUGCCAGGGUCUUGGUAUCAGCUCUUCAAACCACUAUCAUUAAUCUUAAUUAGAAAACUAAAGCAAAGGUUUUUACCAUUUGCAAUUAAUAUGGGAACUAAUUUGGAUUUAGAUUCCAAACUGAACUCACUUGUCUGCCUAUGCUGGAAAGCAUGUUUUAUACCUGCCAGUACCAAUAUUGUUUUAGUAACCCAGGAAAGAGCGGUGCCUUGACUGACAUUAGAAUAAUCUGUGUCGACCAUAAGCAUUAAUCUUAUUUAGAAAGUCAAGCUGAAGUUUGUCAAAGAAGAAAGAUCUAGGGGAAAAAAGAAAUUAACUUCAAGGUUCUACAUAGUACCAAAAGCACCAAGUUCAAGUUUCAUCUUCUAAUUUCUCCUAUGGGAGAGGUAGCAGAUUAGGCCAAUUGUAAUGAAGGUCUUGUCCUUUAUUCUUCCUCAUGUUAUUCCUCAUUCUUUGGAGGAAACAUAAUGAUACCUGAGCUCUUAAUAAGAAAAUCAGAUCUACUUGUGAUGCCCGUAUGUUGAAAUGGGGAAAACAUUUCUCUAAAUUCUUAGCAACAUUACCUCCAACUUGGUAGUUAUUUCAGGUCACUUUUAAUUGAAUUUAUUUCAAUUUACUUAAUACAUAAAUAUCUUUGAGGAGUAUUGACCUAGACUAUUUAUUAAAUUUAAACCAUUUAUCUCAGCUUCAGAGGGAACCUCUUAGCAUUGGUAGUCCUUUUUUCUCUUUUCUAAAGGCCUUUGAGUACAGUCAUGAGUUUCAGGACUUCUUAGGAGGGUAGUGGCUGGUUGGAAAUUCAGCUAUGGUGCUUGAAACCUAAAUGAAAAUUGUCUGUUAUUCAGAAGAUUUUAUUUUCAAAAAUUUUACCAACUGUAUGAUACUUGUAUCCAUGUAAAUAGACAUAUAUAGUUGGCAUUUAUAUGUGUGUAAAUUCACCUUAUCAACACACACGUGUGUGUAUAUAUGCAUGUCACUUGUGAUUUACACAUUUUUUAAAUGUGCAAAAAAAGCAUAAGUGAUGGUAUAUAGCAGCAGUCAAAUCAGGACAACAUUUCUGGUACCUAAUUUUUAGUAAGUUGUUAAUUAGCCAGCCUUUCAGUUUUAACACACCCAAAUGAAAAGAUUAGGAUCAAUAUUUGAGUGUUUUAUCAGUUUUAGUUCAGGGAAAGAGAAGGGUGACUGCUAAACACUCUCCUUACAAGGCUUAAAUUUUUUUUUUUUUUUUGUCUUUUUGCUAUUUCUUUGGGCCACUCCCGUGGCAUAUGGAGGUUCCCAGGCUAGGGGUCGAAUCGGAGCUGUAGCCACCAGCCUAAGCCAGAGCCACAGCAACGCGGGAUCCGAGCCGCGUCUGCAACCUACACCACAGCUCACGGCAACACCGGAUCAUUAACCCACUGAGCAAGUGCAGGGACCGAACCUGCAACCUCAUGGUUCCUAGUCGGAUUCGUUAACCACUGCGCCACGACGGGAACUCCACAAGGCUUAAAUAUUUUGAAUGCUGGUCUCAUAUUGCAUCUAUUUAACCAAACUUGUUGCAACUUAAUCCUAAUAAAGAAAACAUAGAGAAAACAAAGCAUUGACAUGAGUGAAGCUGGAUCUUACAUAUAUGAGUAUUCAUUAUAGUAAUUUAUGUACUUUACCCAUAUUUGAAAAUAUCGAUAAUAAAACAUUAAAAAAGUAAGACAUUAACAUGGUUAAUAAAUAUUGAUUGACACCAGAGUAAAAGUAAGUAGGAACUCAAACAUGCCAUCUGAUUCUACUGAUUUAAAAAUAUACCCCAAAUAUAUGCUGCAAACAUAAACAUUUCCUCAAUGCACAGCCUUCUUACCACUUGCUUGGACCCAGAAACUUACUCCAGCCAACCAGAGCUGAAUUUCAUCUCCCAGUAAACACCGUGGAAUAGCAUUAAGGGAGACUAGCAACUGUCAAGAAUUUUGCUCUUUCAAAGGGUAUUUACUUUUGCCUUGUCAAUGUCAUCAUGGGAAUAGUGUUUCUCAGAGUUUUAUAUAAUAUGAUUCUCUGUGUGUAUGCAAGUGACUUUUCAGUGGUAGACAUUCACCAUCAGAAUUCUAUUAAAUAGUGCUAUUCUGGCUCUGAAAGAUGUUGGAUGAAUUAACAUGGGAAUCAUUUAUGUAGACAAUAUUCAUUAUUCUUAUUUAGAAAGUCAUAUUUUCUGAUGGCCAUGAAAGGUUUUUAUUUUGUUUCUGAAUUCUCAGUUGGCAACUAAAUCAAAAACCCAUUUCCAAUAACUGCCAGUACAUAGCUCACAUAUUCCUAUGCUUCAUUUUCUUCAGCUAUCCUAUAAAGUGUAAAUGUGAUAAAGUUGCAGAAUAAUCUUCUUUUGCAAAGGGCAUCAGUAGACACCUAGUUUGUAUUUCCUUAUCACUCUUUCUCACUAAGUACAGCAUUGUCUUUAUCUUCUAAUCUAUAGGUAUAAACUCUUUCAUUAUAAUCUGAGGGAAUUGUGCUGGUAAACAUGAUGAGUUGGAAAAUUCUUUAAAAUCUGAAGUCUGGUAAAUAAUUCCAGCAACAGGCACAUACUUUGUAAUAAAUUUGUAAAUACUUUCUGGAGCAUAUUACCUUCUGCUUUCAGCUGUAAGCUUGUGAAUUGUAAAGUUUUAAAAUAGAAAAAGGAAUGUAUUAGAAGAAAUCUGGCAAUCCUAAAGGUAAUUUCUGAUCUGCAUAUAGUACCCUCUGUAGAAAGACACUAAUGCCAAAUUGCCUGUUGUGGCAGGUUGUACAUUUUUUUUCCCUUGGGGUCCCUUUCAAAUCAGUACUGUCUUUUCUUUGUCCAAUUGAUUAAAAUGUAGAAUGUAAUUGAAAUGGUAUUAUGUUUUGAAAAUAUGAACUAAUUAAGUUCAGUACUUCUUGAAGAGCACAUUAGUAAAUGGAUUCAUAAGCUUAAUUACUGUUUUCAUUUAAGAUUUUUCAACAUACAGUGACUCUCACCAAGAUGCAAACGGUAGUUUUUCAUACUUAAUGAAGGAUAGUGACAUUCAUUUUGCUAUCUCUCUAUCAGCUUAUUGAUUCUCCCUGAUAUAGUGUUAUGGUUUAUAAAUGUUUCAGAAUUUUAGAAAAAACAUGGUAAUCUAAAAAAUACACAUUUUAAAUUAAUUAAAAAUUAAUUUUGAGUUAAAGGUAAAAUGCCUAUAACAUUCCUAAGCAAAAUAUUAGCAUUUGAUUAUAUUGAAAAAGAUUAUUAGAUUAUUUGAAAAAAUUGUUAUUAAUUUGGGGAAAUAUUUUCUUAUAAAUUAUAAAUGUUGAAACAUACUUCAGGGGAAAAUAUAAGAAACAACUUGAUGAAAAAUAGAAUUAUUAUUUCCAUAUCAUUUUCCUAUGAAUAUAUAUCUAAAAACAGUAGCUUUGAAACAAGUGGAACCAAAAUCUGAAAGUUUCACAUAAAAGCAUUGUAUAAGUCAAAGUAAUAGAUAUGUAAUUUUCUUAAAUUGGAGUAAUACUCAGCAUUCCUUUUAGAGUUUUCAGUUUUGGUAGAUAGAUAGAUGUGUUAAGUCUUGAAAUGUUUUCAUUGUAUAUUUUUUCCAGACACCACUAGAGGCCACACAACU